GAUGAACGCUAGCGGCAGGCCUAACACAUGCAAGUCGAGGGAGAAGCCCUUUCGGGGGCAGAAACCGGCGCACGGGUGCGUAACGCGUAUGCAACCUACCUUUCACAGGGGGAUAGCCCGAAGAAAUUUGGAUUAAUACCCCAUAAUAUUAUUGGAUGGCAUCAUUUGAUAAUUAAAACUGCGGUGGUGAAAGAUGGGCAUGCGUCCUAUUAGCUAGUUGGAGUGGUAACGGCACCCCAAGGCUACGAUAGGUAGGGGUCCUGAGAGGGAGAUCCCCCACACUGGUACUGAGACAGGGACCAGACUCCUACGGGAGGCAGCAGUGAGGAAUAUUGAUCAAUGGUCGGAAGACUGAACCAGCCAUGCCGCGUGCAGGAAGAAUGCCUUAUGGGUUGUAAACUGCUUUUAUAUGGGAAGAAUAAGGUGUACGUGUACAUUGAUGACGGUACCAUAUGAAUAAGCAUCGGCUAACUCCGUG
rnacentral:rRNA from 1 species